rnacentral:rRNA from 1 species
UACGGAGGGCGCAAGCGGUGUUCGGAAUCACUGGGCGUAAAGCGCGUGUAGGCGGCUUGGCAAGUAGGAUGUGAAAUCCCGAGGCUGAACCUCGGAACUGCACUCGAAACUGCCUGGCUCGAGUACCGGAGAGGGUGGCGGAAUUCCCGGUGUAGGGGUGAAAUCCGUAUAUAUCGGGAGGAAGACCAGUGGCAAAGGCGGCCAUCUGGAUGGUGACUGACGCUGAGGCGCUAAUGCUUGGAGAGCAAGCAGG